GUCGUGGAUUCUCGCCGCCUUCCUCUGCGACUUCUUCUUUAGCUCGUCGCUGGUGACCUCUUCAAUUCGUGGAAAGUUGUCACUGAAAGGUCAUGCUGAAGAUCAAGUCUGAUAUAUGAUAGUGCAGCAAUUUGAGAGUUUGAAGAGGAGGCAGUAGUGUGUACUUUUUAGUUCUCAUUUGGUUCCCUUUAAGAUAUGUUUACAGUACUUUUGUAAAACGAUAAAUCAUGAAGUUUGUAGUUUUUCAUAAUUGAGACCUUAAUCCAUGUACCUUGUACUAUUUAUUU